GUACAGUUACAGGUGAGGCGGGGUGGGGGGUUUUAGUAUUACUCAUACGCUUAUAAUAAUAAUAGGACCGUUUACAAUUGCUGUAAAACACUUCAUUCAUUUUCCUCGCAGUGAAAAGACUCAAGAGCCAACAUGAAAAUCCAGCUGAGGGUGAACGGACCCCGAGGAGACGAAAAGAUCGUGGAUCUGUGCCAGAAUGAAGAAGAUCUGAAGAGAAUCACCGUGCUGAUGCUAAAAGAGAGAAUUACGCGUGAACUAAAGAUAGGUGAUGAUAUCCGGAUGGUGUACAGAACAAAGACUCUUGAGGAGUCCUCCCUGCUGUUAUCCUAUGGGGUCAAACACAUGAGUAUCAUCCAUACCCUGCUGAUGCUGCCCGGAGGAAUGAUGGGAUGAAGACCAUAGACUGUAUGAUGAAGACGCACAGAGACUCCCUAGCCUAUUAUGAUCCAAAAAUAUACAGAAAUAUAUGUAUUUAACUGUGAAAAUAAAAAUGUGUGGUCCUUA